rnacentral:rRNA from 1 species
UACGUAUGGUGCUAACGUUGUUCGGAAUCACUGGGCUUAAAGAGCACGUAGGCGGUCAAGUAAGUCUGGUGUGAAAUCCCUCAGCUCAACUGAGGAAUUGCAUGGGAUACUACUUGACUAGAGUGCAGGAGGGGAGAGUGGAAUUCCUGGUGGAGCGGUGAAAUGCGUAGAUAUCAGGAGGAACGCCGGAGGCGAAAGCGACUCUCUGGCCUGCUACUGACGCUGAGGUGCGAAAGCUAGGGGAGCAAACGGG